rnacentral:tRNA from 1 species
AGCAAAGUGGCUUAGUGGAAAGGACAUGGGUUUAAGAGUCAGAGGUCGUGGGUUCUAAUCCUGCCUCUGCCA